rnacentral:rRNA from 1 species
UCCUUCGGGAGCACCGGCGGACUGCUCAGUAACACGUGGACAACCUACCCUCGGGUGGGGGAUAACCUCGGGAAACUGAGGCUAAUACCCCAUAGGCCUCGGAUACUGGAAGGUUCCGAGACCGAAAGCUCCGGCGCCCGAGGAUGGGUCUGCGGCCUAUCAGGUAGUUGGUGGUGUAAAGGACCACCAAGCCUACGACGGGUACGGGCCCUGAGAGGGGGAGCCCGGAGAUGGACUCUGAGACACGAGUCCAGGCCCUACGGGGCGCAGCAGGCGCGAAACCUUCGCAAUGCGCGAAAGCGCGACGGGGGGAGCCCGAGUGCCCUUCCUUUCGGGAGGGCUUUUCUGGAGCCUAAAAAGCUCCAGGAAUAAGGGCUGGGCAAGACGGGUGCCAGCCGCCGCGGUAAUACCCGCAGCUCGAGUGGUGGCCACUAUUAUUGAGCCUAAAGCGUCCGUAGCCGGACCCGUAAAUCCCUGGGUAAAUCCUGGCGCUCAACGUCAGGAAUUCCGGGGAGACUGCGGGUCUUGGGACCGGGAGAGGCCGGAGGUACUCCCGGGGUAGGGGUAAAAUCCUGUAAUCCCNGNGGGACCACCUGUGGCGAAAGCGUCCGGCUUGAACGGCUCCNACGGUGAGGGACNA